rnacentral:misc_RNA from 1 species
GAUGAAGAACGUAGCGAAAUGCGAUACGUAAUGUGAAUUGCAGAAUUCAGUGAAUCAUCGAAUCUUUGAACGCAUAUUGCGCUCUCUGGUAUUCCGGAGAGCAUGCUUGUUUGAGUAUCAGUAAACACCUCAACUUCCAUAUCUUUUUUGAAAUGGGAGUUGGGCUUGAGUGAUCCCAACGCUUUUCCUCACCGAAAAGUGGCGGGUUACUUGAAAUGCAGGUGCAGCUGGACUUUUCUCUGAGCUAUAAGCAUAUCUAUUUAGUCUGCCUAAAAAACAGAUUAUUACCUUUGCUGCAGCUAACAUAAAGGAGAUUAGUUCUUGUGCUGACUGAUGCAGGAUUCACAAAGACAGGCUUCGGCCGACUUUGUAAACUCGAUCUCAAAUCAAGUAAGACUACCCGCUGAACUUAAGCAUAUCAAUAAGCGGAGGA